UUGUUUUUAUUUUAUUUUUAGUCUGUGUUAGAAAGGCUGGAUCUGUCUCGUGCACAUCAAAGAAGAAAGAAGUAAAACCAGCAACCAAACCACCAGGAACAAAAGUACCACCGAAACCAUAAAUCCCACAGAAGAAACGAAGAAACCAAUUUUAGGUUGUCACCUCGAGGCGAGAGAAGUCUGGUGCACCUCAUUGAGUUAUUGUAAGAAGAUUGGCGGCAAGAUCAUGGCCGAAUUCUCUUGUCAUGUGAAAGACUUUGGGUGUUGCAACCUUAAACUUUAAACAUUAAGAAAUAAACUUUUAAUUUACCGAUUA